rnacentral:rRNA from 1 species
GACGAACGCUGGCGGCGUGCUUAACACAUGCAAGUCGAGCGGUAAGGCCCUUUCGGGGGUACGACGAGCGGCGAACGGGUGAGUAACACGUGGGUGACCUGCCCUCAGCUCUGGGAUAAGCCUGGGAAACCGGGUCUAAUACUGGAUAUGACUCCAUGACGCAUGUUGGUGGGGUGGAAAGCCUUGUGCGGCUGAGGAUGGGCCCGCGGCCUAUCAGCUUGUUGGUGGGGUGANGGCCUACCAAGCCGACGAUCUGUAGCUGGUCUGAGAGGACGACCAGCCACACUGGGACUGAGACACGGCCCAGACUCCUACGGGAGCAGCAGUGGGGAAUUUUUGUCAAUGGGGGGAAACCCUGAACAAGCAACGCCGCGUGGAGGACGAC